rnacentral:lncRNA from 1 species
AUGGGCGUCCUCGCUGCCCAGAUGCUGACGAAGGAUGACGGAAGUCCGAUGGGCCGCCUUAGACCAGGGGGUGACGGUGGCUUCAAGGCCUCACAUUUGGUUAAACAAAGACACUGCUUAAGGGGCAGGCCCCAUGGCCUAGUGGUUAAGCUUGGCACGGUGGCCUGUGUCUGGUUCCCGGGUGCAGACCUACACUGCUCAUCAGCAGCCAUGCUGUGGCAGCAUCCCACAUACACAACAGAGGAAGAUUGGCAAAGAUGUCAGCUCAGGGCAAAUCUCCCUUGGCAAAAAAAAAAAAAAAAAAAGAUGCUGCUGAAGUCGACAAAGGUCAGGUUCAAACACAAGACAGGGAAUAAUAACAGCGAUGUCCUCCGGAGUUGUGAGCCUAAACCAUGGGGUGACACAGACGGAGCAGCCCAGCCCGACAGCGCCUCUCGGGGGGCACUUGAUGGAGCUGUGGUGAUUCUGGGAUGAAAGCAUCAUGAAAGCGCCUGGAGGUCACGCAGACAAAGCAGCAGGCAAGGCCCUCAGAGAAGGGCCACCUGGAGCAGAGCGGGAAGAGAAGGCGCCUUUAUCAGGUGGAAUGCAGGGGCGGGACAAAAGGAAAAGAAAACCCCGCCCCGGCCGGCUCCUAAGACUGGGAAUGAUGAGGUCCUGUGUCCAGGGCUCUGCAGAGCCCUUAUCAGUGUCCCUGUGACACUGACCGGGGAUGAGGACGGUGCUGAGAUGGAGGAAAGACAAAAAAAGCAUUUCUCCACGGCCUGUUGGAAUUUCACAGUCGAGAAGACAGUAGACGGCCCAGGGUCCAGAGGCCCGGUGAGGGCUGGGAAGCGGACCUCCGUGCUCCCGGGAGGGCAGGCCAGGUCCUGUGCCCACACGUGGGCCGAGGCUCCAGCGACCGGACAGAAACAGAGGCUGUCCAGGCAGCUCCGCUCUGCAGUGAAAUCAGCGUCCUCAGUUCCGCUGCUUCCUGGAGGACAGAGGGAAAUGCUGCGGCCCAGCUUCCUGCGCACAGACUUGCUCUUUUCUUUCCUUUUUCUGUCAUAAUAAUAUGACUUCUUGGGAAAGCUCAUUUACAUUGACUUUGGGUUUUAUUCGUUUAUUCGGGCCUGUUUCGUUUAUUUAUCCACCAUCUUCCAGCAAGUGUUUAUUGACGGCCUCCUCUGAGCCCCGGGGAUGGAGGUUUGAGUGGGGAGACCGGUGCUCGCCCUCAGAGGGUGAAGUCUCCAGGAGACUCAGUGCACAAGUAAAUGAAGAACAAGGUGGAUGAAGGGGGCAAGCCUGCCGUAUGGGGGGUCACCGGGGAGUUGGGAUAAAGGGAAUCGAGGCCGUGUUAGACGGGGAGGGGAGGGCCGGCCUCCCUGGAGAGGUGACCUUUGAGCUGAGGGGACACCGAGAAGAUUCCAGCCAGGCACAGGCCGCCAGGAGAGCGUUCCAGACAAAGGGCACAGUUCGUGCAAAGGCCUGGAGGCAG